UGCAGCCAGCAGUGGGACCUAAGGU
rnacentral:ncRNA from 2 species